ensembl:lncRNA
CUGCAACCAUUCCUCUGUAUAGAAACAUGCAGACAACACAACUCGCAUUCAAGACAGAUAAAUCAAAUUACAAAAUCAAGCCUGAAUACCCUAAAAAUAACUUUAUUUUGAAAAGCCUUAAGAAAAAAAAAUACUAAGAUGUCAUAUUGUACAAAAAUAAUAAUAACAGAUCACCACCCCCAGGUAAAAACAGAGUACAAUACUGAAGUUUCUUUUCUCAGGUAUAAUUUACUUUUAGUAGCAGAUCUUAAAAUCAAACGUUUUUAGCUAUUCAAAAGUAGUAAAAGCAGAGGACAGAACAGUAACGAUACAGUAUUAAAGGAAACACAAUAGUGAUCAAUAUUCCUUCGGCAAUUGAGCAAAUUUCAGGUCUUUUGAGCACAAACUUGAACAUUGUGAAAAUUCUGUGCAACUUCUGGCACGCGUUUACUGUGAACACUGAGGCUGUACCUGCUUUAAGUUACAGUUUUACUGUGAACACUGAGGCUGUACCUGCUUUAAGUUACAGGUUUACUGUGAACACUGAGGCUGUACCUGCUUUAAGUUACAGUUUUACUGUGAACACUGAGGCUGUACCUGCUUUAAGUUACAGUUUUACUGUGAACACUGAGGCUGUACCUGCUUUAAGUUACAGUUUUACUGUGAACACUGAGGCUGUACCUGCUUUAAGUUACAGUUUUACUGUGAACACUGAGGCUGUACCCUCUUGAAGUUACAGUUUUACUGUGAACACUGAGGCUGUACCCACUUUAAGUUACAGUUUUAAGUGGUCAAGUAGGCUGCUCUGGAUAUUUGAUCAUAAUAUAGGCCUACCAGAGUAGCCUACCAUCAAAAACAAUGGAGAAAAUGCAUCCCAUAAUAUGUUAAGAUGGAAAUAGCCGUUCUAUCGUUCAACCUACAGUAGCAGUCAAUGUGUGGUGUUCAAUGCAGGCCUACAUUCCAUGACACUGUUGAAACAAACAUGCCGGGAUUGACAACCUGUUCAUCCACUUGUCCUUUAGACAAGGAGGUGAAUGAACAUGUUUUUGUGUUGUUUGAUGCAAGAAACCGCUUGACAAAAUUAAAUGCAUUAUUAUUCCCAUACCAUUAUUACAGAGAAUCAGACAAAUUAUUGCUACCUUCCACUUAUUUGCUACUUAGCUUAUUCAAGCAUGUCUCAAAAUUCAACACUGCCCCUUUAAGACCGAAUAUAGGGAUACCGCAGCUCUGAUUGGUUAUGGCGCACCGGUCGGUGUAGAGUAUGGGCCUGUUUCGUGCCUGAUGUCGUGCCUGUCAAUACAAUAGAUUCCUACUCCAAUUCUCUCUGCCUACAAGAAAAUCUCUUGCAUAGUUUGUUUUCUUUCAGUGUGGUUGCAUUGAAAAUGGCUAAUAUUGCGUUGAUUCAAUCCUAAUUCGCACAGUAAAGGGAAACGCUGAUAGUGUUAACUAAAAGGGAAAACUAGACAGUUCAAUCUCGUACAUCUCUGCGCGGGCUGAGGUCCCGGGAAGCCGUGCGCCCACGCAGCUUAUAGGGAACAUUGAUAAUAAUAACAUAAUAUUUACAGUAACGGAGUAAAUAGGAAAUGGAAAUCAACUUUAAUGUCAGGUUUCCCAGACACAGAUUAAAGUUAGGCUUAGUUUAGUACUAAAAAAAAUCUGCUUAAAUGGAAAAUCUCCAUUGAAAUACCGCUUUAGUCCAGGAUUAAUCUAUGUCUUGGGAAAUUAUCUCUAAAUAUCAAAUCGCUUUUAAAUAAACCCACUGUAGACUAUUGAUUACUUCUACUGUCAUCUCUGUAGAUCAAGUAUCAAUCUCUCAAAAGUCCUCUCUCCUCAUCUCACUCUCUUCAUCACCCCCUCCACACAAAAAAAAGGACUAAAACAUGAAAAUGAAAUCUUCAUCUAUGUAUAUUAAAAUGCAAAAAUAUAAAAUAGUUUGUAGAUCUUUAUUUCAUUCUGAACAGCUGUUGGGUCUAAUGACCACAGAGAUCUGAGAACUACAGCUAUGUUCUAAUGGAUUGGCACACUUGAAAUAAUUCACAAUUUCUUCUAAAAAAUAAGUUGAUAUUGAAAAAAAAAAAACUGCGCGUUCAUAACUGCGCGUUCAUACGUAUAUUAGUUUGAUUAACAACUGCACAGGACCAAGAAAAUAAAAGUCACUUCAAAGUCAGAAAAUGGCCUGGACUAAAGUAUUCCAAAUCCAUUUGGUUGGAGGCAGGUGAUUAUCUUUAUAAGGUGUAAUUUUAUCUCCCCAACCAGUCUCAACCAGUCCCAACCAGUCUCAACAUGCUUAUAGUACUGACAACACAACCAGUCUCAACCAGUCUCAACAUGCUUAUAGUACUGACAACACAACCAGUCUCAACAUGCUUAUAGUACUGACAACACAACCAGUCUCAACCAGUCUCUACCAGUCUCAACAUGCUUAUAGUACUGACAACACAACCAGUCUCUACCAGUCUCAACAUGCUUAUAGUACUGACAACACAACCAGUCUCAACCAGUCUCAACAUGCUUAUAGUACUGACAACACAACCAGUCUCAACAUGCUUAUAGUACUGACAACACAACCAGUCUCAACCAGUCUCUACCAGUCUCAACAUGCUUAUAGUACUGACAACACAACCAGUCUCUACCAGUCUCAACAUGCUUAUAGUACUGACAACACAACCAGUCUCAACCAGUCUCAACAUGCUUAUAGUGCUGACAACACAACCAGUCUCAACCAGUCUCAACAUGCUUAUAGUACUGACAACACAACCAGUCUCAACCAGUCUCAACCAGUCUCAACAUGCUCACAGUACUGACAACACAACCAGUCUCAACCAGUCUCAACAUGCUUAUAGUGCUGACAACACAACCAGUCUCAACCAGUCUCAACAUGCUCACAGUACUGACAACACAACCAGUCUCAACCAGUCUCAACCAGUCUCAACAUGCUCACAGUACUGACAACACAACCAGUCUCAACCAGUCUCAACAUGCUCACAGUACUGACAACACAACCAGUCUCAACAUACAGUACUGACAACACAACCAGUCUCAACAUACUCACAGUACUGACAACACAACCAGUCUCAACCAGUCUCAACAUACUCACAGUACUGACAACACAACCAGUCUCAACCAGUCUCAACAUACUCACAGUACUGACAACACAACCAGUCUCAACAUACUCACAGUACUGACAACACAACCAGUCUCAACAUACUCACAGUACUGACAACACAACCAGUCUCAACCAGUCUCAACAUACUCACAGUACUGACAACACAAUCAGUCUCACAGUACUGACAACACAAUCAGUCUCACAGUACUGACAACACAACCAGUCUCAACAUGCUUAUAGUGCUGACAACACAACCAGUCUCAACCAGUCUCAACAUGCUCACAGUGCUGACAACACAACCAGUCUCAACCAGUCUCAACAUGCUCACAGUACUGACAACACAACCAGUCUCAACCAGUCUCAACAUGCUUAUAGUACUGACAACACAACCAGUCUCAACCAGUCUCAACAUGCUCACAGUACUGACAACACAACCAGUCUCAACCAGUCUCAACAUGCUUAUAGUACUGACAACACAACCAGUCUCAACCAGUCUCAACAUGCUUAUAGUACUGACAACACAACCAGUCUCAACAUGCUCACAGUACUGACAACACAACCAGUCUCAACCAGUCUCAACAUACUCACAGUACUGACAACACAACCAGUCUCAACCAGUCUCAACAUGCUUAUAGUGCUGACAACACAACCAGUCUCAACAGUACUGACAACACAAUCAGUCUCACAGUACUGACAACACAACCAGUCUCAACAUGCUUAUAGUGCUGACAACACAACCAGUCUCAACCAGUCUCAACAUGCUCACAGUGCUGACAACACAACCAGUCUCAACCAGUCUCAACAUACUCACAGUACUGACAACACAACCAGUCUCAACCAGUCUCAACAUGCUCACAGUACUGACAACACAACCAGUGUCAACAGUACUGACAACACAACCAGUCUCACAGUACUGACAACACAACCAGUCUCAACAGUACUGACAACACAAUCAGUCUCACAGUACUGACAACACAACCAGUCUCAACCACUCUCAACAGUACUGACGAUAACAACCAGUCUCUACCAGUCUUACAAUACAUGUAUUGGACACAUGGAAACUGUAUAUAGACAAACGCGCACACACACACAAACAAACCUGUCUUACACACAGCUCUAACACACACCUGUCUUACACGCUCACAACACACACCUGUGUUACAAGCUCACACACACACCUGUGUUACACGCUCACACACACACACCUGUCUUACACGCUCACACACCUGUCUUACACGCUCACACACACACACCUGUGUUACAAGCUCACACACACACACCUGUGUUACAAGCUCACACACACACACCUGUGUUACAAGCUCACACACACACACCUGUGUUACAAGCUCACACACACACACCAGUGUUACAAGCUCACACACACACACCUGUGUUACAAGCUCA